rnacentral:rRNA from 1 species
GAUGAACGCUGGCGGCGUGCCUAAUACAUGCAAGUCGAGCGAACAGAUGAGGAGCUUGCUCCUCUGACGUUAGCGGCGGACGGGUGAGUAACACGUGGAUAACCUACCUAUAAGACUGGGAUAACUUCGGGAAACCGGAGCUAAUACCGGAUAAUAUAUUGAACCGCAUGGUUCAAUAGUGAAAGACGGUCUUGCUGUCACUUAUAGAUGGAUCCGCGCCGCAUUAGCUAGUUGGUAAGGUAACGGCUUACCAAGGCAACGAUGCAUAGCCGACCUGAGAGGGUGAUCGGCCACACUGGAACUGAGACACGGUCCAGACUCCUACGGGAGGCAGCAGUAGGGAAUCUUCCGCAAAGGGCGAAAGCCUGACGGAGCAACGCCGCGUGAGUGAUGAAGGUCUUCGGAUCGUAAAACUCUGUUAUUAGGGAAGAACAAAUGUGUAAGUAACUAUGCACGUCUUGACGGUACCUAAUCAGAAAGCCACGGCUAACUACGUG